CUCUGUGGUGCAAGGUUGGUGGGAUUAAGUCCUUGCUUACUUAAUAGUAGUACAAGUCCUACUCCGACUAGGAGAGGAGUCUCUGAAUAUCCCUCCUCUAGAGCUGUUCACCUGUGAAUGAGCUCUGUUGUGUCACCCUUCACUCGUUGUGUGAGUACAGUCUUACUGGCACUGCAAUGCCAGCAGUUGGCCCUGGUGUCUCUCAGGCAUUGUUUUCGCCAGGCCAUCAGUGCAGAUCCACCAGGGUCAGGUCCCAGGGCUGUAGUAGUUGUGUCCCUGGGCCUGUUGUGGGAGCUGUGGAGAUAGCUCAGACUCUGGCCUGGACCAACCUCUGUAUGUAUGUGCCCAUGGAUGCUAAAAGCAACACCCGUCUCAACUGCAGGAGCACUUGUCGCCCUUUGGGAUGUUCCACAGGUGCUGGACUUACAAAGCUAGCAUCGUAGCUGUAAAUCUGCAGUUCGCACAGCUGGGAGGAGAGAUUCAGCUCUUCUUCCUUAUUCACUGGGCUCCUGGGUUUCAGCCUCACCUCUGCAUGUGGGCAGCCCCUUGGAGACUGUUCGGGGUUGUAGCAGCACAAGAGCCUGUGUAGGAGGGAGGCAGGUCUCAGGGGCAGUCAGACUCACAGGGCUCGUUCCAGUGGGAAGGGGCAGAACAGAGGUUGGGUCCAGCAAGCCUCCCCGAAUGGGAGACCCUCCCGGGGUCGGCAGGGGCAGGGGCCUGCAUGGGGAAAAAGGCUGCAGUGAUGGUCCCACCCCUUGCGUGGCGCUUAGCCUCUGUGGCCAUCUGGGACUCUUCCUUGAAUAUUCCUGGUUGUUUGUGGGCUCUGUCCGCCAAUCCCUUCAGACUGCUUCUGCAUAGCCAACUGCAGUUCUCUCCGUGGGUCUGUUUUCUAAGCACCAUGUUCCAGCCCCCAGCCCCCACCCAUAUCAUCAGUCUCGUGUCUCAGUCUGGGACACGCAGGGCAGUCGCAAGGACCAUCUGUGUAGAUCUCAUUCUGUCCUGCCUGUUGCAGACUGGCUGCCGUGUUCCUCCAAAGUUCCUUUCUUUUCCCAGCUGAUGUCCCUGCUGGUGAGGGGGCUCCCCGCUGAUGGUGGGAACCUUGCCUUCCCUUUGUCUCCCUCCCUGAGGUGCAGGUCCUGAUCCAUUUCUGCUUGUCUUUUCUUCUUCCCAUUUUUUUUUUUUUUUACUUCCUUUCCCUCUGGACCUACCCAGUUACGUGGAGAUCCCUCUUGGCCUUUNNNNNNNNNNNNNNNNNNNNNNNNNNUCAGCAGGUGUUCUGUGAAGAUGGCUCCAUUUGCAGAUAAGUUCCUGAUGUAUCUGUGAGAAGCGGUGAGCUCCACCUCCUCCUCUGCUGUCUUGUCCUCUGGGGACCAUUUUUGAAUUCAGUUGUAUUUUGGAAACAUCUUUUCCUGGCAUUUCUUUUUUAUGUCACCAUGGUUUGCUAGAGAUUGAAAGCAUGAUCAGAUGCCAGAUCUGCUCACAUUCCUUGUCCCCCCACCCCCGUGCUGCUUACUGGGGGUGCUGACCCUAUACCAGUCUCUCUCUUCUUUUUUCUUCCUGACACAUUAAGAGUCCAGUUCAAUCUGUAUGUCAUUGAAUCUAGGAUAAUAGUAUGUAUUCAAUGAAAUCAGAAUUAUUUCAAAUAUAUACCUCUCAGAGUGUUACAUCAUCUGUUCUACUGUUAUGAUUGGGUAACUUUAAGGAAAUUUUUUUUUGCUUUUUAGGGUUGCACCCAUAGCAUAUAGAGGUUCCCAGACUAGGGGUCAAAUAAGAACUACAGCUGUUGGCCUGCACCACAGCCACAGCAAUGCCAGAUCUGAGCUGCGUCUGCAACCUACACCACACAGCUCACGGCAACACUGGAUCCUUAACCCACUGAGAGAGGCCAGGGAUUGAAUCCACAACCUCAUGGUUCCUAGUCAGAUUUGAUUCUGCUGCACCAUGAUGGGAACUUCUUUUUUUGUUGUUGUUGUUGUUAUUUUUUUUGUUUUUUGUUUAAGUAAAUCUGAUGCCCAAUCUCAAGAAACACUUUGAAUUAUACUUGUGGAUAGUUUUGAAACAAAACAUCCUCUGAUAAUCAUUUUUCCUUCUUCCUUUCAGUAAUAGAGCUGUGUGAGUUUUAGCUGGGCACCUGGCCACCAGCUCUAAACUACAAUUCCCAGCCUCCUUUGCAGUGUGUACAGCCAUGUGACUGAGUUUGGGCCACUAGGAAAUAAGUGGGAGUGAUGUGUGCAGCCUCUGCAUUUGUACCUCGUGCUUCUUGCUCUAGCUUCUUUCUUUUCUCCUUCUACCACCUGGGAAAAGGCAAAAAAAAAAGGAGCAACUUUGCAGGCUGCAUGUUGUGAGCUGCAGAGUUGACCCAUCCCCCUUCUCCCCAUCCCCCAGGUCACUCACCCAUGGACUGCAGUGUUUGGCACAGCAGCUCGCUCUGUCCUUUAACUGAUGGAAUUGUUAAAAUUGAGCGGUAAUGUUAGAGAAUACAAUACAUUGCAGUGAAAGCUCUGUAUGCGAAGGUAGGAGUUACCAUGACUAGUGAUUGUAACUGCCCCCUGCCUUUAUUCUCUGUUUUCUCCAAAUGGCUGUCCAAGACGGGCCACUCUGCUGCUACAAAUCUUAAAAUCUUCUGUUGGCUCCCAAGGUACCUAAAAUCUCAAACCUUUACCCUAGAGUCAAGAUUAUAUUAGAAUUGGGGCCGAAAAUAAUAGAAUUUCUGACUAAACAUAAGGUAAACAUGAUGGCUUUGGUUUUCUCUCAUAACACAGAAGCUGGAAGAAGGCGUUUCCAGGGUGGGUGCUAAGCUCAAAAAUGUCAGGACUCUGCUUCCUUUUGCGUCACUUCUCUUCAGUCCCCUCAUGUUAUAAGAUGGCUGCAGGCGCUCCAGGCUUCACGUCCUCUUACCCAUCCUGAUGCAGGAAGGAAGGAACAUCUUCUCUAGAACCCCCUGGCUAACUUCCUCAUAUCUCUUUGGCCAGGCUGAAUCAUAUGCCUAUGCUUUAGCUGCAAGCUGGCUGGGAAAGUGAAAAUCUACAAGUUGGAAGGAAAACUUUUUUUUUUUGCCACUCCUGUGGCACAUAGAAGUUCUCAGGCCAGGGACUGAACCUACUUCAGAGCAGUGCCCCUGGCCGCUGCAGUGAUACUACUGGAUCCUUAAGCCACUGUGCCACAGGAGAUCUCCAGGAACCCUGCUUAUGAUAGACAGGGAGCAGGCCUGGCUGUAGGGCCAGCAGUUGAGUGUGUGCUUUGAGAGACUUACUUUGCUGAAGCAAAAAAAUAUGAUCUUAAGUCAAAAUAUAAAAAAAGUAUUUCCUGGAGUUCCCGUCAUGGCGCAGUGGUUAAUGAAUCCGACUAGGAAGCAUGAGGUUGCGGGUUCAGUCCCUGCCCUUGCUCAGUGGGUUGACGAUCUGGCGUUGCCGUGAGCUGUGGAGUAGGUUAUAGAUGCGGCUCGGAUCCAGUGUUGCUGUGGCUCUGGCGUAGGCUGGUGGCUGCAGCUCCGACUCGACCCCUAGCCUGGGAACCUCCAUAUGCC
ensembl:lncRNA